GUUAUAAAAAGAUUUCCCUAUAUCUUGAAAAAUAAAUUAUCAUAAACUUAACCUUGUCCAUGGUUCAAAUACUUAUUAGUUGGUGCAAGAUUUAUUACGAAAUUGUGUCAAAUUCACCAGGAAUUUGGAAAUAAAUAACUACCAAUAUUUUCUACAAUACUUUCUUAAUUAACCAAAAUAAUAAUUAAGAAUUUCCCUAUAAAGUUUACAUUUUUCCUGAUGUCUCGUUUGCUCAGCUAGUACUGUCACCAUCUAUUUACAGGUCAAUGGAAGAACUAAUGGUAUUAUUAUAGAAUGAGCUGAUUCAGAAUCCAAAGAACUAUGGGUAAUUUUAUUUUUUUCCAACUUCAAAAUGAAAAUAAUGUCCCUUCAUUGGUUUAUUUUCCAUUGUUUAGGACAUUUUUGACCAAUCACAAUGUUUUGUUGAAUGC
rnacentral:lncRNA from 1 species